UACAGAGGGGGCAAGCGUUGUUCGGAAUUACUGGGCGUAAAGGGCGCGUAGGCGGCCCGCUAAGUCGAACGUGAAAUCCCCGGGCUCAACCCGGGAACUGCGUCCGAUACUGGUGGGCUUGAAUCCGGGAGAGGGAUGCGGAAUUCCGGGUGUAGCGGUGGAAUGCGUAGAGAUCCGGAAGAACACCGGUGGCGAAGGCGGUCUGCUGGGCAGUUGCUGACACUGAGGCGCGACAGCGUGGGGAGCAAACAGGG
rnacentral:rRNA from 1 species